rnacentral:rRNA from 1 species
AGGUGAGCCAGUACAGGAUGGACCCGCGUCUGAUUAGCUAUUUGGUAAGGUAACGGCUUACCAAGGCGACGAUCAGUAGCCGACCUGAGAGGGCGAUCGGCCACAUUGGAACUGAGACACGGUCCAAACUCCUACGGGAGGCAGCAGUGGGGAAUAUUGCACAAUGGGCGAAAGCCUGAUGCAGCAACGCCGCGUGAGUGAUGAAGGCCUUCGGGUCGUAAAACUCUGUCCUCAAGGAAGAUAAUGACGGUACUUGAGGAGGAAGCCCCGGCUAACUACGUGCCAGCAGCCGCGGUAAUACGUAGGGGGCUAGCGUUAUCCGGAUUUACUGGGCGUAAAGGGUGCGUAGGCGGUCUUUCAAGUCAGGAGUGAAAGGCUACGGCUCAACCGUAGUAAGCUCUUGAAAC